rnacentral:rRNA from 1 species
UGCCCUUAAGUGGGGGAUAACAUUUGGAAACAGAUGCUAAUACCGCAUAGAUCCAAGAACCGCAUGGUUCUUGGCUGAAAGAUGGCGUAAGCUAUCGCUUUUGGAUGGACCCGCGGCGUAUUAGCUAGUUGGUGAGGUAAUGGCUCACCAAGGCGAUGAUACGUAGCCGAACUGAGAGGUUGAUCGGCCACAUUGGGACUGAGACACGGCCCAAACUCCUACGGGAGGCAGCAGUAGGGAAUCUUCCACAAUGGACGCAAGUCUGAUGGAGCAACGCCGCGUGAGUGAAGAAGGCUUUCGGGUCGUAAAACUCUGUUGUUGGAGAAGAAUGGUCGGCAGAGUAACUGUUGUCGGCGUGACGGUAUCCAACCAGAAAGCCACGGCUAACUACGUGCCAGCAGCCGCGGUAAUACGUAGGUGGCAAGCGUUAUCCGGAUUUAUUGGGCGUAAAGCGAGCGCAGGCGGUUUUUUAAGUCUGAUGUGAAAGCCCCUCGGCUUAACCGAGGGAAGCGGCAUCGGAAACUGGGAAACUUGAGUGCAGAAGAGGACAGUGGAACUCCAUGUGUAGCGGUGAAAUGCGUAGAUAUAUGGAAGAACACCAGUGGCGAAGGCGGCUGUCUGGUCUGUAACUGACGCUGAGGCUCGAAAGCAUGGGUAGCGAAACAGGAUUAGAUACCCUGGUAGUCCAUGCCCGUAAACGAUGAAUGCUAGGUGUUGGAGGGUUUCCGCCCUUCAGUGCCGCAGCUAACGCAUUAAGCAUUCCGCCUGGGGAGUACGACCGCAAGGUUGAAACUCAAAGGAAUUGACGGGGGCCCGCACAAGCGGUGGAGCAUGUGGUUUAAUUCGAAGCAACGCGAAGAACCUUACCAGGUCUUGACAUCUUUUGAUCACCUGAGAGAUCAGGUUUCCCCUUCGGGGGCAAAAUGACAGGUGGUGCAUGGUUGUCGUCAGCUCGUGUCGUGAGAUGUUGGGUUAAGUCCCGCAACGAGCGCAACCCUUAUGACUAGUUGCCAGCAUUUAGUUGGGCACUCUAGUAAGACUGCCGGUGACAAACCGGAGGAAGGUGGGGAUGACGUCAAAUCAUCAUGCCCCUUAUGACCUGGGCUACACACGUGCUACAAUGGAUGGUACAACGAGUUGCGAGACCGCGAGGUCAAGCUAAUCUCUUAAAGCCAUUCUCAGUUCGGAUUGUAGGCUGCAACUCGUAG